rnacentral:rRNA from 1 species
GAUGAACGCUAGCGGCAGGCUUAACACAUGCAAGUCGAGGGGUAUAGUAGCAAUACUAGAGACCGGCGCACGGGUGCGUAACGCGUAUGCAACCUACCUUUCACAGAGGAAUAGCCCAGAGAAAUUUGGAUUAAUACCUCAUAGUAUAACAUGGCCGCAUGGUCGAGUUAUUAAAGUCACAACGGUGAAAGAUGGGCAUGCGUCCCAUUAGCUAGUUGGUAAGGUAACGGCUUACCAAGGCAACGAUGGGUAGGGGUCCUGAGAGGGAGAUCCCCCACACUGGUACUGAGACACGGACCAGACUCCUACGGGAGGCAGCAGUGAGGAAUAUUGGACAAUGGGCGCAAGCCUGAUCCAGCCAUGCCGCGUGCAGGAUGAAGCAUCUAUGGUGUGUAAACUGCUUUUGUACGAGAAGAAACACUGCUUCGUGAAGCAGCUUGACGGUAUCGUAAGAAUAAGGACCGGCU